ensembl:lncRNA PAXIP1-AS2 PAXIP1 antisense RNA 2
AAUGACGCGAAACUCCUGCCUUAAAGCCCUAAAUGGCGGCUUCAAUAUCAGUCCCACUGAGCAUGAAAUUCAUUUACUUAAAUAAAAUCUGAAUCUCAGCCCAAACCUGGGAGAUUCAAAACCUGAGAGCGGUCUUACCAAAGACGCCCGUAUGUCUGGUGAAGUCAGUUGGAUGCAAGCAGUUUGUGCUGGUACCAGGGCCCCAGCUACUGAUGAAGUGGCAGGAGUCCACAGAAGCCUACUUCGAAGUUCCCGGGGCUUCCAGGGGAGAUUGACGAGAUUCCUGGGGAGGCGAUUCAUGACAGCUGAGUUCCUUUUGGAGGAUCCGUCUUCAGGCAGUCUGAUCCCCCAGGAAAGCAGCUGGAAAACAAGAGCAUGUGAAGGAAGCGCAGCAGCUCCUCGCCAGCCAGACAGCCAGCCCCGCACCGCAGGAGUCGACAUGCACGGCAGCCUAGACGCCAUCAGUUAAACUUAUAUGUAGGCUUGUUGAGGAAAACGACUUUCAAACACAAGGCAAAAGAAAAACAUGAAACCAAGGGUUCCAACAUUCAUCAUCCAGUUUCAGAGACACCCUUGAAGGAAUGCUACAGCCUCUUUCUUACCCAUUCAAACCAGUCGCUCUGCUGCAUACCCACAUCACAGGAGGCCCUCAGCCCCGACACACAGGCUCACUCAGCCCGGGGACAUCAGCACCUGUGCCAGCUCCGCAAGGUAUCCACCAUGCGGCCAGAACUGAGGCCCAGCAAUAGCUGAAAUGUCCUUUAAAUUAACAUGUACAACACACAACCCCCAAGAGCUGACAUCCCCAAAGCCCCACCACAAAUAGCUGACUCCUACUUAUACCUGCAGGAGCAGGUAGUGACCUCUGCAAUUCUAAACCGUCCACUUUGGGCAAAAUUCAUCAAGCUAUGGAUAUGAAAAAAGGCCCCCAAGGAUAUGAUUCAUAGUCCAGCGUUUGAGUGAGCACUCCAGUCAGAACGAACUCUGCAUUGUGAACAUCUGAACAGGGUGGAAACAGACACUUUAGUUAGAGAUCCACUGCUGUGCGUGCACACAUACUCACACAGGGCAAUGACGGACUCGCUGGCGGACUCCACUCUACCCACCGAGUUCUGCUUGUGCUCCAUGAGCUUCCGGAAAGAUGGCUGCUUGGAUAACACCUUUCCUCCUGCACACUCUACGAUUGCCUUCAUAGUGGAAAGACUUGGGCAGAUUCCAGGUGUGAUGUAAAAAUAUUUUGCCUAAAAUUAAAUGAAAAUAUAUGUAUUAUGUUCUUAAAAUGCUUUAAUUUUUAGAGUACAUAAUUCUCAUAGAUUCUGCCCUGAGAUUUUUGACAAAAUUUCAAAUUUUAUGACAUUAUGAAGGUACUAUUCUCCUACUAGCACUCAAUCUGAAGUGGAAGAGGAAUCCAGCUAUGUAAAUUUGGAAUGUAAGCAUUUUCACAUGUUAAGUAUGCCUGAAGAUGAUUUAAAGUAACCAGAACUUAAGUCCCUAAAACAAAGUGUUUUGUGAAUAAGCAAGAAUAUUACAAAUAUUUUUCACAAUUUCUAUACAAUUUUAAAUCAGCAUUAUAUUUCACCACACUUAUCUGCCCAGCAACAGCCUCUGGCAUAGCAUGCUGCCUGGCUUAUAUCCCUUUUCUUUAUUUUCUCCAUAUUAUUUGAACUCAGAGCAGGAAAUGAUAUUGAUGCUUAAGAUUUAAUUAUCUAACAAGAUUGCUCCUGAGGAUACCACAAAAUACUAUUCUGUCUGAAACUGCAAAUAAUUUCUAAUUCCUGUUGACUCCUUAAGAAGGUUAAAGAACCGAUUAUCUUUAUUGAUUUACUUAGUUCUUUGGUACAAAAAAAAUUCCUAGCUGUUCUAACACUUAUCUAACAUUUAAAAAUCUUUUAGUACUGAAUUAUAUCUAUGCACACACUGAAUAUUUUCCCAAGUAUCUUCUCCAGCUGAAUAUACAUUUACUGACAAUAGUACGAAGUAAGCGA